CGCCUUAAAAAGUUUAUUUAACAUAAUUCUUUUUGUCUUUCAUUCUGUAUACAAUGUCAGUAAUUAUGUGUAGUGCUCAGAACCACCUGAUAUGAUAAUCUUAACUGUGGUUUCCGGAUUUGCUCAACAAUUAUUAUGGGCCAAUAAUACUGAAAUUGUUUUAGGGAGAUGUGGAAAGCCUGAUAAUAUACCAUACCACCAGUCCUAUGGCUUUAAUAUCUUGAAUCCAUCAUACAAAAUGAAGAGAAAAUAGGGAGAGAUGUAAACCAUAGAGUUCAAGUAAGGUGAAUGAAAACAUAAUAAUACUUCAGUGUAAUUUGUUAUACAAAAAGACCACACACAAGCUUAACAUUAAUCGUUUACUGCACAAUUAUAAGACCUAUACUGCUGUGAGAGAUUUAAUGCUAACCAGUAGAGUCACAAGGCAGAGCCCUAUGUUAGUCAAAUAGGCACCCACCGGUUUCUUAGUGAAACUCAUCAAGGUGAGGUGGGCUAGCUUCUCUGUUGUCAAUAGCGGCCGCUACCGGCGCUAUUGCGGCGCGGAGUGGCCAAAACUGACAAAAAGCAAUGCAGCGCUACAAAGCGGAGCGUUUGGAGAAAGCGGGCGAAACGGGUGCUAUUGGUGGAGCGGAGCGGGUCAAUAGAAGGUCAAAGCGGGCACAAUUUUGGUUAUGCGUAAAAUACUGGAAUGCCCUUCACUUAAAACUAUUUGGAGGGUUAAUUUAGUAAUUUUCGAAACCCUAAAAUCACUCUUCUCCCAUCAGAAGCAACACACAGCCGCAAAACACAACCUCUUCAUUGUACGUACAACAACACAAAAGCAAGCUCUUCAUCUCUUCAGCCGUAAAGGCAACCUCUUCAUCACUUCAUUUUUGUUCUCCUCUCUUCAUUUCUGAAACAGUCACAGAAACAGAGAUCAACAAAACUCCCUUCCUGAAAGGGAAUUAGAAAAAUAUUUGUGAAAGAGAAACAAAGAGGGUGUGUUUCUAAACAGAGAUUGAACGCAAAAAAAAAAAGAUGAAGUAUGAACGAACCUGUUUCAGAAAUGAAGAGGUUGCUUUUGCGGAGAGAACAGAGAUGAAGAGCUUGCUUUUGUGUUGUUGCACGUACGAUGAAGAGGUUCACUAGAUCAGGUUACCUUAGGAUCAUACCAUCCUUUCAUAGACAACAAAUCUAUAUAUAAAAGGGAUGAGCUUUGUAAGAGUUGGGCGAGAUGCAUUUGAGAAGGCCACAAGACGAAAUACAAUUGGGAAUGAUUUUUGGUGAGAAAUUUCGGAUAGCACCUAUUAUGGAAAACAAGGUAGAGUAUCCCGUCUUUGGUGGUUUGGACAUGUUGGAAAUUCUGCCUUAAAUACAGUCCACCCCUAGCCGCCUAAUGGUGGCGUUUGGGUUGCCUUCAUUGCAGCCUCCAACACCUUCAUUGUGUUGGGUGUAAGGGUGUGAAUUUUGUCGAGCAAUGUCUUGAUAUAUGGCUUAAGUAGUGCUUAUAAAGCUUGGGCUGGCCUCACCUUACAAAUUUGUUUUUUAGGCCCAAUUCAUGUUUCAAGAGGACAUGUGCGAAGAAGACCUGUAGAGGUGACAAUGAAGAU